rnacentral:rRNA from 1 species
UGGGGAAUAUUGCACAAUGGGGGAAACCCUGAUGCAGCGACGCCGCGUGAACGAAGAAGGUAUUCGUAUCGUAAAGUUCUGUCCUAUGUGAAGAUAAUGACAGUACCAUAGAAGAAAGCUCCGGCUAAAUACGUGCCAGCAGCCGCGGUAAUACGUAUGGAGCGAGCGUUGUCCGGAAUUAUUGGGCGUAAAGGGUACGCAGGCGGUUUAAUAAGUCGAAUGUUAAAGAUCGGGGCUCAACCCCGCAAAGCAUUGGAAACUGAUAAACUUGAGUAGUGGAGAGGAAAGUGGAAUUCCUAGUGUAGUGGUGAAAUACGUAGAUGUUAGGAGAAUUACCAGUAGCGAAGGCGAAUUUCUGGACACAAACUGACGCUGAGGUACGAAAGCGAGGGGAGCAAACAGG